GGGACGGUUAACUCCGCUUGCUGAUUGCUUCCGAGGAGAUCGAGGUUACCUACGUGCAGGACAGCGUUAGAUGUGGCUCAUGGAGCCCACUCUCCGACUAAAACGGAGCAGAGAGAGACCUGCCUCAGACCUGCUGGGAGCAUCAGUGAGUGGAGACUCCAUUCCGGACAGACACAAUAAAUUAAGGGUUGCUGAGGCACUAUUCCAGCCGGUCUUCCAGCAUUAUAGCCUUCCGGAUAUUAUUGUCUCCAAC
ensembl:lncRNA